rnacentral:tRNA from 1 species
UGGAGAGGUGGCCGAGUGGCCGAAGGCACCGGUUUGCUAAACCGGCAUACUGCUCUCAAGCGGUAUCGCGAGUUCGAAUCUCGCCCUCUCCGU